ensembl:snRNA U6 U6 spliceosomal RNA
GUGCUCACUUGGGCAGCACAUACACUAAAAUUGGAACCAUACAGAGAAGAUUAGCAUGGCCCCUGCGCAAGGAUGACACGCAAAUUUGUGAAGCAUUACAUAUUUAA